CUCGAACUUGAGGACGUCGCGGGCGACGUCGGCGGAGCCGAUGACGACACAGUGGGUGGAGGGGCCGAGGCGGAGGUACACGAGCGGGCCGUAGCGGUUGAUGAUGCGGUCGAACGCGCGGUGGGGGGGCGGGCGGAUGAGGUGGAGGUGGCCGAUGAAGGGGAGCGCCAUGGGGCCCGGGGGGAGGCGGCCGUGCUUGCCGCCAUGUCUGACCAGCGUGAGGAGGAAGAAGGCCACGGCGGCGAGGAGCGAGGCCACAAGCAGUGGCGCUGCACUGUCCGAGACCACUCCGAAUUGCUCCAUGAUGCCUCCUCUUCUGACUUUUUCCUCUUCUG
rnacentral:lncRNA from 1 species